CAUAUCCCGAUAAACAUGUUGACUUCCUGGUUUGUUUUCUGUCAGAUUAACUGGACGGUGACCUCUAAAGAAAAAGCCCAGUGUAAGGUGAAAGGCAAGAGCAUCGAGGAAUGUGACAACUACAUCAUAAUGAUGCACACUCUGAAUGAUGGCAGAAUUCUGGUUUGUGGAACCAAGGCAUUCGAACCUACCUGCACACACCUGAUGUUUGAAGAAGGAAAUGUGACUAUGGAAGACAGUUUCCAGAGUGGCAGGGGGAAAGUUCCCUUUGACCCCAACCAAAACUUUGCCUCCAUGAUGAAUGGAGACACGUUAUAUACUGCUGGUUCUAUAAACUUCCGGGGAACAGUAAUGUCUUUCCAAAGACAUGGGAAGAAUUACAUGAGGACUGAACCAAUAUGGUCUUGGCUCAAUGGACCCAAGAUGAUUUCCAUAAACUUCGCUGAAAUCAGCAAACAUUCAAACAACAACGAGGACGACAACGUGUUCUUGUUCCUCACAGAGCUCGAAACCGAGGCUCAACGAAGCCGCUUGCGACUGUCAAGAGUUGCACGAGUGUGUAAAAGCGACUUGGGAGGGUUGAGAACUUUGCAGAGAAAGUGGACUUCUUUCCUGAAAGCCCGUCUGGACUGCCCGUUUGGAGAUGAAGGUUCAGAGUCUCUGGUGCAGGACGUCUUUUUUCUCCAAGAUGAAAAUAACGUGACUGACAGCAUCUUCUACGCAACAUUCACCUUGAUCCCGAAGCCGUCCAGUUCCUGCAGUCAGUCUGCUGUCUGCGCCUACAAGCUGUCAGACAUCCAGCAAGUUUUCAGAGGGAACUUUAUGACCUUUACUGAUUCUGGCAGCUGGGUGAGGUACACAGGAACAGUAUUUAGCCCGUACCCUGGUUCGUGUAUUAAUGAUGAAAUGCGAGCCAAAGGUGUGAGAACCUCUAAGGACCUCCCAGACGUAACCCUGCUGUUUGUGAGGAACCACCCCCUGAUGGAGAAAGCGGUGACCCCGAUCACUGGGAGGCCCCUGCUGGUCCGGUCUACAGCCCAGUUCUCCAGAAUCGUUGUUGACAAAGUAACCUCUCUGGAUGGACAGCAGCACAUCAUCAUGCUUAUUGGCAACAACUCUGGUUGGCUGCAGAAGGUGGUGUGGUCUGAUAAUGAUGGAGGGCGAAUCAUUGAGGAGUUGCAGCUGUUUCAGGAUCCUCAGCCCAUUCGCUUCCUUCAGCUCUCCUCUAGAAGCGGUCAGCUGUACAGCGCAACUAGAACUGCUGUUGCUCAGCUCAGUGUGAGGGACUGCAGCCGCUACACAUCCUGUGAUGACUGCCUUAUAGCCAGAGAUCCAUACUGCGGCUGGGACCAUCUCAGAGGCCUGUGUGCUGCUGUUGCUGGUGCUUCAAACUCCUCCAUGAUCCAGAACCUCAUUGAUGGUGAUGUUGAAAUUUGCCCAAGCUUUAAUUUGUCAAAGCAGAUUACUGACAUCCACCUCACAGUUGACGUCGCACAGUUCCUCCCCUGCUCCCCUGAUACCAAUCUCCCCGUCAGCUGGAGGUUCUCUGGUAACAUCCUUGAGCCCGGUCCCCGACACAUUCUGCUCAGCCAGGGACUCGUUUUAACACCUUCCUCCACUGAUGAAGGCCUUUACACCUGCGAGACAGUGGAAGUAGUUAAAGGCAGAGAGCACAGGAAGGCGGUGAUCCAGUACAACGUUAAGAUGGAGGUUUCAGAGGGUGGGGUGAACUGGAUUCAGGCUAUAGUUACCUACAUUUUAGCUUCUGUUUGUGUGGUGUGUGUAGUGAUCAUCAUCUAUGUAUGCUGGAAGCAGAAAACUCAAAACCAUGUUGGCAGUAUUAAGAUGCUAAUAUGCUAACAAUCCCAUAAAGAAGCAAACACUUUUUUAUAAUUAUAUGAUGAUUCUAUGUGUAUUAUAUGUGCAUGUGUGUAUGUACAUAUAGAUUAACAGAUUUAAUCUUGUAAUCACCACCAUAUUUAUGUUUAUGUUGUAUAUAUUUCCUACAUUGUUUGUUUUGGAGCUAGCUUUAUCACAGUAUGAAAUGGUAAUUCCACUGCCACCUUGUCUGAACACCCAAUUUGGAACCAUUGCAUAUGGAAGGCCAUGAAGGAUACACCGGACCCAUCCUUCAAAUCUGGUGAAAGGACGCAUGUGGUGGCCGCAUUUGGAGGAGUCUUUGAAUUCAGACAGUCCUCCGUGUUGCCACGCUAUGAUGCAAUCGGCCUACAAACCCGGCCUUCAAAGGAUGCAGCCCCUGCUUUUAAAAAUAAACAUGUUUUGGUUCCUCUGAGUUAUGAGAAGUAAGUUGCCUCUACAUAACCACCCAAACAGGUUAUGAUGAAGAGCCAGGUAGCGCUCCUUUAUGUCCUGGUCAUUAUGAGUGAGGGAUCAGCCCAAAGCCUGAAACCCCGCCAGAGCGUUUUCUUCUCAGAUGUUAACCUGAAGCUGUUUAAGGAGCCUGACUUUGACGGUUUGAGCUCCAUGCUGGUCAGGGAAGACAUCGGUCUGCUCUUCAUCGGAGCCAGAGGAAAGGUCAUCACGCUCAGUUUGGAUGACAUCAC